CACGAACCGUACGAACGUUAUUCGGAAUUACUGGGCUUAAAGGGUUUGUAGGCGGCCUUGUAAGUCAGGUGUGAAAUCCCUCGGCUCAACCGAGGAAUGGCGCUUGAUACUGCACGGCUUGAGGGAGACAGGGGUAAGCGGAACUGAUGGUGGAGCGGUGAAAUGCGUUGAUAUCAUCAGGAAUACCGGAGGCGAAGGCGGCUCACUGGGGGUUAUCUGACGCUGAGGAACGAAAGCCAGGGGAGCGAACGGG
rnacentral:rRNA from 1 species